GGGCAGAGAAGUUGAGAAAAGGAGAGAAGAGCUGAGAACGAGAUAGAGAAGGAAAGAAGAGAGAAAGAAAAGGGGGAAGAAAAAAGGGGAAAAAAGGUGGAAAAAGAAAAGGAAAAAGAUAUUAUUGAAGAAGAUGAUAUAUGGAUUCAAAUACAAGGUUCAUCCUUUCUUCUAUUCUAUUCCAAGAAGUAAGAAAAACUCAUUGUUAUUCAAUAUUGUUAGAUUUGGGUUUGUAAUUAGUGGCCUAACUUAAAAGAUUUGAAGGAAAGAAUAUAUAUUGGAGUUGAAUAUAUGUUAAACUAAUAUGAAACGAGUUUGUAAAUUAAAGCCUAGAUCUUUAUAUUUAUAGUGUAUAUGAUAUAAAACAAUUAAUUUAUGAGGUAUUACAAUGAGAUAUGGAGUUGAGGUUGGAUUUUGGUAUUUUUUUAAAUUAAUUUUCUGGCAAAAUUAAUGCAUAGUGCUAUUUUUGAAAUUCUACCCAGAAAGUGUCAUUACUGUCAAUGGUUUUGGAGGCAGAUUUCAAUAUACAGAAAUUGGUGCCAGAUUCUUAUAUUAUGGAAAUUUAGUGCCAAUUUUGUCAAACCUUGGAUUUCCAAAUUUUUAAAGGUUUGAAUGAACCUAUAUGACAAAUAUUGAAGUCUAUGUAUUGGACUAACUACGUAUAAGGGUUUUAUAUGUAUUAAGGUAGUGAUUUUAAGGAAGUGUGGGUGGUGUAAUAAAUUUAAUAGUGUAUGGUGAUUAGUUGAUAAAUCAUUAAAGAGAAGAAAAAGUUGAGGAAUUGGAGAUAUAAGAGUAAGUAUAGAAGUUGAUAAGUUAAGUGGUGGAUUUAUAUUAAUUUAAUUGUUAGGCUUUAAUUUGAGAAAUUAUAUCGUUAUUUCAGGUAGGGACAUGGAAGCUUGGAAAGGCUCGUCAAUUUAAUCAGAUGUCUAUCCAUAUAUCUAUGAGUGGAAAAAUGUAAAUUGUUUUUAAAGUAUUUAUAAAUUAAGUACAUUAGUA
rnacentral:lncRNA from 1 species